rnacentral:rRNA from 1 species
GGGCCGCACGCGCGCUACACUGACGGAGCCAGCAAGCAUAACCUUGGUCGAGAGGCCUGGGUAAUCUCGUGAAACUCCGUCGUGCUGGGGAUAGAGCAUUGUAAUUUUUGCUCUUCAACGAGGAAUUCCUAGUAAGCGCAAGUCAUCAGCUUGCGUUGAUUACGUCCC